rnacentral:rRNA from 1 species
UACGGGGGGGGCAAGCGUUGUUCGGAAUUACUGGGCGUAAAGGGCUCGUAGGCGGCCAACUAAGUCGGAUGUGAAAUCCCCAGGCUUAACCUGGGAACUGCAUCCGAUACUGGAUGGCUUGAAUCCGGGAGAGGGAUGCAGAAUUCCAGGUGUAGCGGUGAAAUGCGUAGAUAUCUGGAGGAAUACCGGUGGCGAAGGCGGCAUCCUGGACCGGCAUUGACGCUGAGACGCGAAAGCGUGGGGAGCGAACCGG